AAUAUUCUUUCAGAUGAGAGUGCUAGUUUUAGGCUAGAUAAUAGGGAAAUCGGUGAAAAUCCGAUGCAGCCCCGCUACUGUAAUAUGGGAUGAAAUGACAUAUAAACACUGUGUUUAUACGGGAAGUUGUCAAAGUAAUGUGAUCAUAGAGCCAGGAGACCUGCUUUCAUCAUUCGUUUCAA
rnacentral:ncRNA from 2 species